GACAAGUCCUGGGCCCCUGUAAUUUGAAAUUUGUAAUGUAGGAUGCAGUUGGACUCUAGGUGGUGUCCUAGAUUGACACAAGAUGUCUGGAGCUGUUAUCAUGCAGCACCUUGACUUUUGUAGUAACUUUCUUUCAGAGCAGAUGGAUUAAACCUGUGGCAGAGUGCCCCACACCAGGUGAGGGGGUUCCCAUGGGAGGGUCAGUCACUGUUUAUCUUUGCAGGGGCAGUGUAAAUAAUGCCUAUGUUACAGCAUUGUUCCUUGUCUUUAUUUUCAGGAAGUAAUACUGGAUACCAGCGGUCAAAGGUGAUGGAAUGAGGUGAGUGGUGACCAGUGGACAGAACAAGUUUUUAUGGCUUGGGUCCCAGGUUCUGGUGCAGCUCUAAGCACCCACUGUUGUUUGUGCAUUUCAGGUGGUCCACUUGCAAACACCCAGGGGAGGCCAGGCCCUGCCACUGCCCUCAGAAUGCCUAGGAACAGAGCAAACAGGAUUUCUCUGGGCCAUCCAUCCAGAUUAGAUGAAAAGUUGAGGUAUCUGUGAGCAGGUAUGGAGCUGAAGUUUGGAAACAGCAGGUAAGUGAUAAGCUUUGGCAAUUACAAGGGAG
rnacentral:lncRNA from 1 species